UACGUAGGUGGCGAGCGUUGUCCGGAAUUACUGGGCGUAAAGAGCGCGCAGGCGGCUGGUCAAGUCCGAUGUGAAAUCUCCCGGCUUAACUGGGAAAUCGCAUCGGAAACUGAUCGGCUUGAAGGUGGGAGAGGGUAGCGGAAUUCCCGGUGUAGUGGUGAAAUGCGUAGAUAUCGGGAGGAACACCAGUGGCGAAGGCGGCUACCUGGCCCAUUCUUGACGCUGAGGCGCGAAAGCUAGGGAGCAAACGGG
rnacentral:rRNA from 1 species